rnacentral:rRNA from 1 species
UACGUAGGGUGCAAGCGUUGUCCGGAAUUAUUGGGCGUAAAGAGCUUGUAGGCGGUUUGUUGCGUCGGCUGUGAAAUCCCGAGGCUCAACCUCGGGUCUGCAGUCGAUACGAGCAAACUAGAGUGUUGCAGGGGAGACUGGAAUUCCUGGUGUAGCGGUGAAAUGCGCAGAUAUCAGGAGGAACACCGGUGGCGAAGGCGGGUCUCUGGGCAACAACUGACGCUGAGGAGCGAAAGCGUGGGGAGCGAACAGG